UGGGUAUGUCCCUUUCCAUUGCAAUGUUCUUUGUUUAGUACUUGAUCAGUUGUUUGAUUCCUUUUUUUUUCUUUUUUGUUGGACACUCAUUGCUUUUUUCCCCCCUUGUGAUUUUGGGUUUGGUUCUACUGAAUUGUAAGUCGAAGCAAUCUUGCUCGUCUUUCAUUGGUACACUCUUUGUUUUGGUUCUUCAAAGAUCGCGACAAAUUCAAGAUGUCUAAUCCAAGCUCAUGUGUUGUCUCUUUUGCUCGUUCCUUGAUGCCACACAUGCAGCUGGGCUUCUGGUUCCGGUUCCAUGUGGUGAGAGCAUCAGAUUUGGCCGCGCUAGAUUUUUCCUUCUGUCAAACAAAGUCAUGUGUGUUCUAGGUCUAGGUGGAGAUCAAACCUGGCCUUUACAAAGUUUCUAAGCUUCUGCGCGGGGAUUAGGGGCUUUUCUUUACCAAUAUGCCAGAAGAACUUAUGAAGAAAAAAACCAG